GACGAACGCUGGCGGCGUGCUUAACACAUGCAAGUCGAGCGGUAAGGCCCUUUCGGGGGUACACGAGCGGCGAACGGGUGAGUAACACGUGGGUGACCUGCCCUCAGCUCUGGGAUAAGCCUGGGAAACUGGGUCUAAUACCGGAUGUGACCACAUGUCGCAUGGUGUGUGGUGGAAAGUUGUGCUCUUCGGGGUGCUUCGGUUGGGGAUGGGCCCGCGGCCUAUCAGCUUGUUGGUGGGGNGAUGGCCUACCAAGGCGACGACGGGUAGCCGGCCUGAGAGGGCGACCGGCCACACUGGGACUGAGACACGGCCCAGACUCCUACGGGAGGCAGCAGUGGGGAAUCUUGCGCAAUGGGCGAAAGCCUGACGCAGCGACGCCGCGUGAGGGAUGACGGCCU
rnacentral:rRNA from 1 species